GAUGAACGCUGGCGGCGUGCCUAAUACAUGCAAGUCGAGCGAACAGACGAGGAGCUUGCUCCUCUGACGUUAGCGGCGGACGGGUGAGUAACACGUGGAUAACCUACCUAUAAGACUGGGAUAACUUCGGGACACCGGAGCUAAUACCGGAUAAUCUCUUGAACCGCAUGGUUCAAUAGUGAAAGACGGUUUUGCUGUCACUUAUAGAUGGAUCCGCGCCGCAUUAGCUAGUUGGUAAGGUAACGGCUUACCAAGGCAACGAUGCGUAGCCGACCUGAGAGGGUGAUCGGCCACACUGGAACUGAGACACGGUCCAGACGCCUACGGGAGGCAGCAGUAGGGAAUCGUCCGCAGUGGGCGAAAGCCUGACGGAGCAGCGCCGCGUGAAUGAUGAAGGUCUUCGGAUCGUAAAACUCUGUUAUUAGGGAAGAACAAAUGUGUAAGUAACUGUGCACGUCUUGACGGUACCUAAUCAGAAAGCCACGGCUAACUACGUG
rnacentral:rRNA from 1 species